GGAGAGAGAAUUUACUUUUUAAAAAAGCAAAAGUCACAACGGAUGUAAAAAAUAUCUUCCCAUUGCAGUAUGUACAAACGAAAGUUUGACAUUACAUUGAGAAAAAUAUUAGAUGAGCAUAGCAAACAUUAGAAAGAUAAACUGAGACCCAGAAAGAGGAUGAAAAUUAAGUGGUUGAAUUCAUCUUAUGAGGAAAGACCACUUCCAUGUCUAAAUUGGGUCUGUUUCUGAGUCAAAUGUACAAUCAGAUGGCUAGGAUGACAUGCACAGGGUGAAUCUGAUUAUAUGAUUUUAAAAAAAAUGUACUUUUUUCCCCCUCUACAAUAUGGCUCUUUUCCAGCUUCUAACAGGGCAGUAUACUUC